rnacentral:misc_RNA from 1 species
AUUGAGGAACAUGAUUAUCAGACCAAGUUCCGCAAUGUGGUCAAGUUCCUGGGCGAAGGCGAUAAAGUGAAGUGCUCCGUGCGUUUCCGCGGACGUGAGAUCACUCACGCGAAUAUCGGCCAGAAGAUCCUGGAGCGCGUUAAGAAUGAAGUGGCUGACAUAUCUGUUGUUGAGCGCCAGCCUAAGCUGGAAGGACGCAGCAUGAUUAUGAUUCUGGCUCCUAAGCCUCAAUAAUUCUGGAGUCACUUGCUUAGCAAUUUGGCGCCGCAUAAUAAUCAAGGAGGAAACACCAUGCCUAAAAUGAAAACACACAGCAGCCUGAAAGGCCGCUU